rnacentral:rRNA from 1 species
CAGUAGCCGCGGUAAUACGAAGGGGGCUAGCGUUGCUCGGAAUGACUGGGCGUAAAGGGCGCGUAGGCGGCGAUCAAAGUCAGGCGUGAAAUUCCUGGGCUCAACCUGGGGGCUGCGUUUGAUACUUGAUUGCUAGAGUGGGGAAGAGGGUCGUGGAAUUCCCAGUGUAGAGGUGAAAUUCGUAGAUAUUGGGAAGAACACCGGUGGCGAAGGCGGCGACCUGGUCCUUGACUGACGCUGAGGCGCGAAAGCGUGGGGAGCAAACAGGAUUAGAUACCCCGGUAGUCCCUGUCUCUUAUAC